GGACUACCCGGGUAUCUAAUCCCGUUUGCUCCCCUGGCUUUCGUGCCUCAGCGUCAGGAAAUGUCCAGAGACUCGCCUUCGCCACUGGUGUUCCGCUCGAUAUCUACGCAUUUCACUGCUACACCGAGCAUUCCAGUCUCCCCUCCAUUCCUCGAGCCAGAUAGUAUUCAAUGCAGUUCCGAAGUUAGGCUUCGGGAUUUCACAUCAAACUUACCUGACCGCCUACGCACCCUUUACGCCCAGUGAAUCCGAACAACGCUCGGGACCUCUGUAUUACCGCGGCUGCUGGCAC
rnacentral:rRNA from 1 species